rnacentral:rRNA from 1 species
GGGGAGGAAGGGAGUAAAGUUAAUACCUUUGCUCAUUGACGUUACCCGCAGAAGAAGCACCGGCUAACUCCGUGCCAGCAGCCGCGGUAAUACGGAGGGUGCAAGCGUUAAUCGGAAUUACUGGGCGUAAAGCGCACGCAGGCGGUUUGUUAAGUCAGAUGUGAAAUCCCCGGGCUCAACCUGGGAACUGCAUCUGAUACUGGCAAGCUUGAGUCUCGUAGAGGGGGGUAGAAUUCCAGGUGUAGCGGUGAAAUGCGUAGAGAUCUGGAGG